UACAGAGGUCUCAAGCGUUGUUCGGAUUCAUUGGGCGUAAAGGGUGCGUAGGUGGCGAGGUUAGUCAGGUGUGAAAUCUCGGGGCUCAACCCCGAAACUGCACUUGAUACUGCCUUGCUAGAGUACUGGAGAGGAGAUUGGAAUUUACGGUGUAGCAGUGAAAUGCGUAGAUAUCACUAGGAACGCCGGUGGCGAAAGCGACCGACUGGACCUCUUCUGACGCUGAGGCGCGGAAAGCCCAGGGGAGCGAACGGG
rnacentral:rRNA from 1 species